rnacentral:rRNA from 1 species
AACGAACGCUGGCGGCGCGCCUAAUACAUGCAAGUCGAGCGAGAAGACGUAGCAAUACGUUUGUAAAGCGGCGAACGGGUGAGGAAUACAUGGGUAACCUACCCUCGAGUGGGGAAUAACUAGCCGAAAGGUUAGCUAAUACCGCGUACGCUCCUUGGACUUCGGUUCAGGGAGGAAAGCGAUACCGUGGGUAUCGCGCUCUUGGAUGGGCUCAUGUCCUAUCAGCUUGUUGGNGAGGUAACGGCUCACCAAGGCUUCGACGGGUAGCUGGUCUGAGAGGACGAUCAGCCACACUGGCACUGCGACACGGGCCAGACUCCUACGGGAGGCAGCAGUAAGGAAUAUUGCGCAAUGGGCGAAAGCCUGACGCAGCGACGCCGCGUGGGGGAUGAAGGUCUUCGGAUUGUAAACCCCUUUCGGGAGGGAAGAUGGAACGAGCAAUCGUUCGGACGGUACCUCCAGAAGCAGCCACGGCUAACUUCGUGCCAGCAGCCGCCGCGGU